rnacentral:tRNA from 1 species
AGCUCAGGUAAAGCGUCUGCCUGCAAUGCAGGAGACCCAGGUUCGAUUCCUGG